GUGCUUGCUUGGCAGCACAUAUACUAAAAUUGGAAUGAUACAGAGAAGAUUAGCAUGGCCCCUGUGCAAGGAUGACACACAGAUAUCCACAAGGGACAAUUUUAUCU